UUUUGUGCCAUUAAGAGAAGC
ensembl:piRNA 21ur-5569 ncRNA